GCAAGUCGUACGAUGAAGCCCUUCGGGGUGGAUUAGUGGCGAACGGGUGAGUAACACGUGGGCAAUCUGCCCUUCACUCUGGGACAAGCCCUGGAAACGGGGUCUAAUACCGGAUACCACUCCUGCCUGCAUGGGCGGGGGUUGAAAGCUCCGGCGGUGAAGGAUGAGCCCGCGGCCUAUCAGCUUGUUGGUGGGGUAAUGGCCCACCAAGGCGACGACGGGUAGCCGGCUCUGAGAGGGCGACCGGCCACACUGGGACUGAGACACGGCCCAGACUCCUACGGGAGGCAGCAGUGGGGAAUAUUGCACAAUGGGCGAAAGCCUGAUGCAGCGACGCCGCGUGAGGGAUGACGGCCUUCGGGUUGUAAACCUCUUUCAGCAGGGAAGAAGCGAAAGUGACGGUACCUGCAGAAGAAGCGCCGGCUAACUACGUGCCAGCAGCCGCGGUAAUACGUAGGGCGCAAGCGUUGUCCGGAAUUAUUGGGCGUAAAGAGCUCGUAGGCGGCUUGUCACGUCGGAUGUGAAAGCCCGAGGCUUAACCUCGGGUCUGCAUUCGAUACGGGCUAGCUAGAGUGUGGUAGGGGAGAUCGGAAUUCCUGGUGUAGCGGUGAAAUGCGCAGAUAUCAGGAGGAACACCGGUGGCGAAGGCGGAUCUCUGGGCCAUUACUGACGCUGAGGAGCGAAAGCGUGGGGAGCGAACAGGAUUAGAUACCCUGGUAGUCCACGCCGUAAACGUUGGGAACUAGGUGUUGGCGACAUUCCACGUCGUCGGUGCCGCAGCUAACGCA
rnacentral:rRNA from 2 species